GAUGAACGCUGGCGGCGUGCUUAACACAUGCAAGUCGAACGGUGAAGGCGGAGCUUGCUCUGCUGGAUCAGUGGCGAACGGGUGAGUAACACGUGAGCAAUCUGCCCCUGACUCUGGGAUACGCGCUGGAAACGGCGUCUAAUACUGGAUACGAGCUGCGAAGGCAUCUUCAGCAGCUGGAAAGAAUUUCGGUCAGGGAUGAGCUCGCGGCCUAUCAGCUUGUUGGUGAGGUAAUGGCUCACCAAGGCGUCGACGGGUAGCCGGCCUGAGAGGGUGACCGGCCACACUGGGACUGAGACACGGCCCAGACUCCUACGGGAGGCAGCAGUGGGGAAUAUUGCACAAUGGGCGAAAGCCUGAUGCAGCAACGCCGCGUGAGGGACGACGGCCUUCGGGUUGUAAACCUCUUUUAGCAGGGAAGAAGCGAAAGUGACGGUACCUGCAGAAAAAGCGCCGGCUAACUACGUG
rnacentral:rRNA from 1 species